ensembl:lncRNA
AAAGUAUUGAGUGUGCGUCUGCACCCUUUUCCUUAUAUUAUAUGCAUUAGUUUUCCAGGGAAGCAGCCAUUGUCACAUAACUGAACGGAUGCAUCUAUAAGCAGCAAAGACUCAAUGACUUUGAUACCAGUAAAAUACUAAAACACGGUCGGUGAAUUGAAGAAGUGAAUCAAUGUCGUAACAAAGUGCCUCAUAGUCAAUUUUCCUUUAGAAACACUACUUUCCUUUAAAAACUACGACUAAGCCAUGUAGUAUCUAGAGUGUAUUGGUACCCCUUGCAUUAUGGGUAAUGUAGUACUACAUACACUAUGCUACACAACACAGAGAUGUCCUGUCAGAACUAGCGAGGUGGCCCUUGUCUACUAGUCUCUGAUGCUAAUCCAUAGCGAUGUGGCCCUUGUCUACUAGUCUCUGAUGCUAAUCCAUAGCGAGGUGGCCCUUGUCUACUAGUCUCUGAUGCUAAUCCAUAGCGAUGUGGCCCUUGUCUACUAGUCUCUAAUGCUAAUCCAUAGCGAGGUGGCCCUUGUCUACUAGUCUCUGAUGCUAAUCCAUAGCGAGGUGGCCCUUUUCUACUAGUCUCUGAUGCUAAUCCAUAGCGAUGUGGCCCUUGUCUACUAGUCUCUGAUGCUAAUCCAUAGCGAGGUGGCCCUUGUCUAUUAGUCUCUGAUGCUAAUCCAUAGUGAGGUGGCCCUUGUCUACUAGUCUCUAAUGCUAAUCCAUAGCGAGGUGGCCCUUGUCUACUAGUCUCUAAUGCUAAUCCAUAGCGAGAUGGCCCUUUUCUACUAGUCUCUGAUGCUAAUCCAUAGCGAUGUGGCCCUUGUCUACUAGUCUCUGAUGCUAAUCCAUAGCGAGGUGGCCCUUGUCUACUAGCCUCUAAUGCUAAUCCAUAGAGAGGUGGCCCUUGUCUACUAGCCUCAUGCUAAUCCAUAGCACACAGUACAGAUCAAUGUUAUAUCACUGUGAUCAUCCCCAUUUCAACUCCUCAUGUGUUUCAGUAAGUCAAACCUCUGAUGUAAGAUACAAUGAACAGACACAUAACGUCUAAGAAUCUUGUCUACACUUCUC